GUGCUUACUUCGACAGCACAUAUACUAAAAUUGUGACAGAGUGUGACAGAGAAGAUUAGCAUGGCCUUUGCACAAGGAUGACAUGGGAAGACACAACUCAUGUUU
ensembl:snRNA U6 U6 spliceosomal RNA